rnacentral:rRNA from 1 species
UGCAGUCGAGCGACAGACGAGGAGCUUGCUCCUUUGACGUUAGCGGCGGACGGGUGAGUAACACGUGGGUAACCUACCUAUAAGACUGGGAUAACUUCGGGAAACCGGAGCUAAUACCGGAUAAUAUUUCGAACCGCAUGGUUCGAUAGUGAAAGAUGGCUUUGCUAUCACUUAUAGAUGGACCUGCGCCGUAUUAGCUAGUUGGUAAGGUAACGGCUUACCAAGGCAACGAUACGUAGCCGACCUGAGAGGGUGAUCGGCCACACUGGAACUGAGACACGGUCCAGACUCCUACGGGAGGCAGCAGUAGGGAAUCUUCCGCAAUGGGCGAAAGCCUGACGGAGCAACGCCGCGUGAGUGAUGAAGGUCUUCGGAUCGUAAAACUCUGUUAUUAGGGAAGAACAAACGUGUAAGUAACUGUGCACGUCUUGACGGUACCUAAUCAGAAAGCCACGGCUAACUACGUGCCAGCAGCCGCGGUAAUACGUAGGUGGCAAGCGUUAUCCGGAAUUAUUGGGCGUAAAGCGCGCGUAGGCGGUUUUUUAAGUCUGAUGUGAAAGCCCACGGCUCAACCGUGGAGGGUCAUUGGAAACUGGAAAACUUGAGUGCAGAAGAGGAAAGUGGAAUUCCAUGUGUAGCGGUGAAAUGCGCAUAGAUAUGGAGGAACACCAGU